UACGAAGGGGGCUAGCGUUGUUCGGAAUCGACUGGGCGUAAAGGGCGCGUAGGCGGCCGAUCAAGUCGGGGGUGAAAGCCUGUGGCUCAACCACAGAAUUGCCUUCGAUAUCUGGUUGGCUUGAGACCGGAAGAGGUAAGUGGAACUGCGAGUGUAGAGGUGAAAUUCGUAGAUAUUCGCAAGAACACCAGUGGCGAAGGCGGACUUACUGGUCCGGUUCUGACGCUGAGGCGCGAAAGCGUGGGGAGCAAACAGG
rnacentral:rRNA from 1 species